rnacentral:rRNA from 1 species
AUGAAAUCUCGUAGCGAGGUUCUCUCUAUAUACAAACAUUUUGCUGCCAUGAUUCGCACCCAGUUUUCCACGCCCAUUCGUACUUUUCGUGCGGACUCCGCUAGUGAGUUUAUCUCUCAGCUGUUGCGUGGUUUUCUUGCAAAACAGGGUACUCUUGCCCAGUUCUCAUGUCCUGGUGCUCAUGCUCAGAACGGCGUUGCCAAACAUAAGCAUCGUCAUCUACUUGAAACGGCUCGUGCAUUGAUGAUUGCCGCUUCCCUUCUGCCUCACUUUUGGGCUAAGGCUGUUUCUGCAUCCACUUAUCUCAUCAACAUUCAGCCCUCUACUGCUUUGCAAGGUGGUAUUCCUAUGGAAUGUCUCACUGGACGUUCCCCUGACUAUUCCGCUCUUCGGAUGUUUGGAUGUGUGUGUUAUGUCCUUCUUGCCCCCCGAGAACGCACCAAACUGACUGCUCAGUCGGUUGAGUGUGUCUUUCUUGGCUACAGUGAUGAGCACAAGGGCUAUCGAUGUUGGGAUCAUGUGGGUCGUCGCUUGCGCAUCUCGCGUGAUGUGACAUUUGACGAGUCUCGUUCUUACUACCCAUGUUCUCCUUCCUCGAGUUUCUCUGUGGAUGACAUUUCUUUCCUGCUCUUCCUGACACACCCAGCUAUGUGCCUUAUGUGUCACCUCUUCCUCCGGCACCUCUCAUUCCUUCUCAUUCCCCACCGACACCGUCUACUUCAUCCUCCUCCUCCACCUCUCCACCAGCAUCUCCAGUUCGUCGCUCUCUCUCACCGUUCCCUCUCUACUAUACUAGCCGAUCUUGUACUGAGGAUGUCUCCUCUGACGAGCCUUCCACCUCUGGUGCACCUCCUCUCACGCCUCCCCCGGUUCACAACCUUCGUGCUUGGCCUCGCCCCCCGUCUGAUCGCUACUCCCGUACUCGAUAUGGUCUCUCUGCUAUUGCUGAGCCCACUUCCUACCGAACUGCCAUGA